ACUUGGGGAUUAGUGGCGAACGGGUGAGUAACACGUGAGCAACCUGCCCCUGACUCUGGGAUAAGCGCUGGAAACGGCGUCUAAUACUGGAUAUGUCCCGUCACCGCAUGGUGUGCGGGUGGAAAGAUUUUUCGGUUGGGGAUGGGCUCGCGGCCUAUCAGCUUGUUGGUGAGGUAAUGGCUCACCAAGGCGUCGACGGGUAGCCGGCCUGAGAGGGUGACCGGCCACACUGGGACUGAGACACGGCCCAGACUCCUACGGGAGGCAGCAGUGGGGAAUAUUGCACAAUGGGCGGAAGCCUGAUGCAGCAACGCCGCGUGAGGGAUGACGGCCUUCGGGUUGUAAACCUCUUUUAGCAGGGAAGAAGCGAGAGUGACGGUACCUGCAGAAAAAGCACCGGCUAACUACGUGCCAGCAGCCGCGGUAAUACGUAGGGUGCAAGCGUUAUCCGGAAUUAUUGGGCGUAAAGAGCUCGUAGGCGGUCUGUCGCGUCUGCUGUGAAAUUCCGAGGCUCAACCUCGGGCUUGCAGUGGGUACGGGCAGACUAGAGUGCGGUAGGGGAGAUUGGAAUUCCUGGUGUAGCGGUGGAAUGCGCAGAUAU
rnacentral:rRNA from 1 species